AAUAUUGGACAAUGGGGGCAACCCUGAUCCAGCCAUGCCGCGUGUGCGAAGAAGGUCNNNGGUUUNUNAAGUAGUUUAAGUUGNGANNACGGGCUUUAGGAUAAUACCCUGAAGUUUUGACGUUACCAACUGAAUACGCAUCGGCUAACUCUCUGCCAGCAGCCGCGGUAAUACAGAGGGUGCAAGCGUUAAUCGGAAUUAAUGGGCGUAAAGAGCACGUAGGUGUUUCAGUAAGAUUGGUGUGAAAUCCCCGGGCUUAACCUGGGAACUGCUUUCAUAACUGCUGAGCUAGAGUACGGUAGAGGGUAGUGGAAUUUCCUGGGUAGUGGUGAAAUGCGUAGAUAUAGGAAGGAACACCAGUGGCGAAGGCGACUACCUGGACUGAUACUGACACUGAGGUGCGAAAGCGUGGGGAGCAAACAG
rnacentral:rRNA from 1 species